rnacentral:rRNA from 1 species
GUCUUAGCGGCUUCACACACUUAAAAGAAUAUGACCGGGCAAUAGCUAGUGUAGUUAACGUCAGCAGGCGAACGAAUGCGUAGGCGAACUGAGAAGGUGAUCGGGCACACACUGGAACUGAGACACCGGUCCAGAACUCCUACGGAAGGCAGCAGUAAGGGAAUUCUUCCGCCAAUGGACGAAAGUCUGACGGAGGCAACGCCGCCGUGAGUGAUGAAGGUUUUCGGAUCGUAAAGCUCUGUUGUAGGGAAGAACAAGUGCCGUUCAAAUAGGGCGGCAACUUGACGGUACCUAACCAGAAAGCCACGGCUAACUACGUGCCAGCAGCCGCGGUAAAUACGUAGGUGGCAAGCGUUGUCCGGAAUUAUUGGGCGUAAAGGGCUCGCAGGCGGUUUCUUAAGUCUGAUGUGAAAGCCCCCGGCUCAACCGGGGAGGGUCAUUGGAAACUGGGGAACUUGAGUGCAGAAGAGGAGAGUGGAAUUCCACGUGUAGCGGUGAAAUGCGUAGAGAUGUGGAGGAACACCAGUGGCGAAGGCGACUCUCUGGUCUGUAACUGACGCUGAGGAGCGAAAGCGUGGGGAGCGAACAGGAUUAGAUACCCUGGUAGUCCACGCCGUAAACGAUGAGUGCUAAGUGUUAGGGGGUUUCCGCCCCUUAGUGCUGCAGCUAACGCAUUAAGCACUCCGCCUGGGGAGUACGGUCGCAAGACUGAAACUCAAAGGAAUUGACGGGGGCCCGCACAAGCGGUGGAGCAUGUGGUUUAAUUCGAAGCAACGCGAAGAACCUUACCAGGUCUUGACAUCCUCUGACAAUCCUAGAGAUAGGACGUCCCCUUCGGGGGCAGAGUGACAGGUGGUGCAUGGUUGUCGUCAGCUCGUGUCGUGAGAUGUUGGGUUAAGUCCCGCAACGAGCGCAACCCUUGAUCUUAGUUGCCAGCAUUCAGUUGGGCACUCUAAGGUGACUGCCGGUGACAAACCGGAGGAAGGUGGGGAUGACGUCAAAUCAUCAUGCCCCUUAUGACCUGGGCUACACACGUGCUACAAUGGGCAGAACAAAGGGCAGCGAAACCGCGAGGUUAAGCCAAUCCCACAAAUCUGUUCUCAGUUCGGAUCGCAGUCUGCAACUCGACUGCGUGAAGCUGGAAUCGCUAGUAAUCGCGGAUCAGCAUGCCUCGGUGAAUACGUUCCCGGGCCUUGUACACACCGCCCGUCUCUCCACGAGAUUUUGUACCACC